rnacentral:rRNA from 1 species
UUAAGUCCCGCAACGAGCGCAACCCUUAUCAUUAGUUGCUACGCAAGGGCACUCUAUAGAGACUGCCGGUGACAAACCGGAGGAAGGUGGGGAUGACGUCAAGUCCUCAUGGCCCUUAUGGGUAGGGCUUCACACGUCAUACAAUGGUCGGUACAGAGGGUUGCCAAGCCGCGAGGCGGAGCCAAUCCCACAAAGCCGAUCGUAGUCCGGAUUGUUCUCUGCAACUCGAGAGCAUGAAGUCGGAAUCGCUAGUAAUCGCAGGUCAGCAUACUGCGGUGAAUACGUUCCCGGGUCUU